rfam:Nomascus leucogenys chromosome 12, whole genome shotgun sequence.
AUCACCUGGACAUCUUGUUAAAAUGCAGAUCUGGAUUCAAGAGAUCUGGGGUGAGUCCUGAGAUUCUGCAUUUCUAAUAAAUGUCCAGGUGAUGCUGA